UUACGACCAUAUCACGCUGUAACACCGAUUUUCGUGCGAUCACCGAAGUUAAGCAACAUUGAGCGUCGUCAGUACCUAGAUGGGUGACUGCAUGGGGUUAGCAGGUGCU